ensembl:lncRNA
UACUUUGUCCUGAAUACAGAUGAUGGAACAGAGGCUCAGAGAGGUUAAGGAGCUCACCCUAGGUCACACAGCUUGGAAGUGGUGGAGCUGUGACUUGAGUCCAGGUCUUUCUACUUCGAACCCUCAGUCUCCAGACUUGUAUAAAAUAUAAAUCCCUUUUUGGAGGCCUUGUCGGGUGCAUGUGGAUGUGGAGAAAUGUCAGAUGCAGAUGGUGCUGUGGACCGUUGGACCAGUUUUCCAGAGCUGAGGGACCUUGUGGCCUUGGGUGAGGAAGCUGAGGAGGCCCAGAGAGGGGCGACAGCUUGCCAUGGUCACACAGCAGGUUGGCACCCCAGCCGGAUGAGAGCCCCGGCCUCGGAGCCCCAGCCUGGGCUGGCCAGGUCUCAGCUCCUGCCGACUCUUGAGUCACGGGAUUUGGGUUCUGCGAGUCUGCAGUACAGACAGGACAGGCUGCGUCCUCCGGGAAGGGGCCUCGUGGUCGCUGAGAAGACGAGCAUGUAAGGAAAGCUGGUGGGUGACGAGCCAGCGCCCUGUCUGUCUCCUGCAGGAAAGCAGUGAGGAGUCACUCCGCCAAGGUCUCUUAAAGGAGAAGGCUGUGUUAUUUCCCGAGCUGCUUCCUGCGUGGUGCAACCGAGCUGAGAGCCGGAGCCGACUUUGGAAGGCUCAUCCUCCAACCCACUCUCCCGUCGGUGGAAAGGUUUAUAGGAAACAAAGGCUCAGAGAGGCAAAGUGAUUACCCAAGGUCACACAGCUGGAACGCAAUGAAGCCAGGACAUGAACCUGCUCCUAGGGCCCUCCUGUUUUCCAUCCCACGGCCAGUCGUCUCAACCAAGAAGGUCUCAGAGUCAGUCUACACAGAGAGAACACGCCUCCGUCACAUCCACUCCUCUCCCAUGUCCGUCCACGGUAGAGUUUGAGGCUGCUUUUUAUCACAAUCAUCAACCUUUAAUGUUUUGCUUUUUGAAAAUAUCUGUAGCCGCGGCUCAGGGUCAGUGGCCGAGAGAGAGUGUGUGUGGGUGUCCGAACAUCAAUGUCCAGCUUUCCCCCGGGAGGGAGGUAAACAGGCUUCCGGGACUCAAGCGGAACAUUUUUUAGCGUCUUGCGCCUUUGGCCUGGGCACGUCAGAUUUGGGGUCCCACCGUCUCGGAUCCCACGCUUCUGGUGUGCUUGGGAACGGAAGGUGUUUGGGGACAAGCCGGGUAGGAGGCCCGGCUGCCGAAACAAAGAGAGAGAAGGCAAGUUCAGGGGCGCGAGCUAGGGCGGGGGGCGCCCACUGCUUCUUUCUGCAGCCUCCCGAGUCAGCGGGUGGCUCGCACACACACGGUGCCGGGGUUUAAGCCCUGUUUCUAACCACGUGCAUGUAGUUAAUCUCUCCGAGCCUCAGUGUUUAUGAAACAGGAAUAAUAAAAAUGCCCACCCAUACAGUUGCGUGAUUAAAUGGCGUGAUGCGCGAGGACAGCUAUGCCUGUGCCCGGCUCACGGUAAGGACUCGGCGAAUGUGCAAUGUGAAGGUAUGGAUAUUGUAAGUCAGCAAACAGAUGUUGCAUUCUGAGUCUAUGGUAGGAGUCAUUUCCAUGUAUCUCACUUAAAAAAAAUCACAAUAACCCUGGUGGGGGGGGGGUGUUGUUAUUAUCUUUACUUUGUAGAUAAGGAAGCCUAGACUUAGGAAGAAGAGUGGCAGAGCCAAGUGAAUCCCCCGGAGUUUGCCAAAUCCGCCAGUGGGGUCUCCCUGCCACACUCACCUGAGCCCAGGUUCAGGGCCUGCUGAGACCCACAGCACAACGAAGCCAGGUCUGACUGGAGGGUGGACCUCCGGGAGCUCAGCUGGGUAGUGCGAGGCCUCGUGUCAGCCAAUGGCAGCAGGUUUUACUGAUGCUUCUGGAGGGCCCACCCUCUGGAAAUGCAAGCCCGUUGGUUCCCAGGACUGGAAGCCUCAAGCACGUGUGGCCCUAGACCUCAAAGAGGGUUUGGCUGCUGUGGCUUCUCUGGCAACAAAAGCUGUUGAUUUGUUUUUUGAGCCGAGUGGCUAGUUGAGGGCACCAGCCACAACCUGCUAUUAGGAGCUCCUCACUGCGGUCUGCGUGGAGCGCUCAGGGAAGAGCCCCCGUGUGUCCUGGGAUCCCACGGUCUCUUGUUUCUUCCCUCUUGGUUGGCAUGUGGCUGGGGCAGGGGACACCCUGGGGAUUUCGGCGUGAGUCUCUCUCCCUCACAGGACUGUGCAGAGCUCUCCUGAAGCUGUGGGACCAACCACAUCUGAGGAGUCCUCACUCCCAGACCCCUGCCCUUUUAGGUCCUCGGUGUUUCCAAACACUUCUUCAGGACCCGUUCCUGGAGAACUUUCUGUAGAUAUGGAUGCAAAUACAGAAGGGUGGGCCCCAAAGCACUUCUGGUGAUUGAAUGUGCUGCCUCUGUGCAUUGCUUUGUCUCUCUCUGUCCACCCCUCACCAGAACGGAUGCUUCCCAGCUUGGGAUCUUGCCUCUCUUGUCCUCUGAUAUAUCCUCAGUGCCUAGAACACGGUGCUCUACAACAGCACAGAGCAGGGGAGCCACUAUUGAUCCAUGGGUGUGCCCUGGCAACUGGUACAGGGUCUUGUGCUCAGUGUCUGCUUCAUCAGGAGCUGGACCCAAUCACCCACUAAAUGGUCAUUUGUUAAUUAACUAAGGGAUGAAUACUGGAAGUAGACUGGUGAGGAAAAAACAAGAUUCGGUUCCAGCCUUCCUGGACUUGCUAGGGGGUAAGAUAGUAAGAGUCACGUAAACGAAAGGGAAAAUUAUAAUUUUGAUAUGGACUUUAAAGGGGAGCGUGGGACCCUGAUUGCAAAAAUGGCCCCAAUUCCCUGCCCUUCCCCGCACAGUGUGACUUUCCCCAGGAUGAAGUGGAAACUCUCCCCACCUCUCGCAUGUGGGGUGGCCCGGGAUUUGCUUGGGCCAAUGGGGUGCAGUGAAAGUGGAGCUGUGGCAGUUCCGAGGCCAGGCCUCAAGAAGCCUUGCUGGCAUCUGCUGCCAUCAUGAGAACGUGCCCAGGCAAGCCUGCUGCAGAUAAGAGACUGUGGAACGUAGUGGAGUUGUACCAGGGGAGCCGGCCUCCAGCCUGAUCACAGAUACAAGGGCCAGCCCACCUGAGCCUGGCCCAGAGUGGUGGAACUGUCAGCCUUCUUACAGACUUGUAGAAGUAAUCCAUGGUGGGUGUGUGAAGCUUUGGGGUGAUUUUGUCAAGCAGCAUUACCAUGGCAAUACAUGCCUGAUACAGGGAGAUCCGUGAGAAUGUAUAAUCAGGGAAUGUGGCCAGUCUGGGAGGUCAGGUAGGGCUUCCCUGAGCAAACAGAGACUGAGCUGGGACCUGCUGGCAGAGUGGAGUAGGUGUUAGCUAGGUGAAGGGAUGGGGAGAGAAUUCCAUGAAGAGAGUGCUGUGUGUGCAAAGGCCCAGUGGUGGGAGGAGCACGACCCAUUCAGAAACUGAGGCGCUCAGUGUGGUGGCGGCAGCAGCAGGAAGAUUGGCCCCCCUUUUCAGGCCCGGAUAAAUAAGCCUUUUCAUUUCCAGGGAACUCGACAUCCCACUUAUCAUGAGCAAUGCUAAUGAUGCCAUGCUCUUCACCCUGAUGUUUGCAUAGGACAGGCCCUAAGGGACUCUGCUUUCAUGGGUCCCAGGGGAACCAAGUGGGUGACCCUCAAUGGCAGGGCUGAAAGUGUUCUUAGAGGCUGUGUGGCCCAACCUGUCCUUUAAUGACUGGGAAGCGGGGGCCUGGAGAGGGAAUGUGGCCGGCCUCGGGUGCUCCAGGGCGGGCCAGGGGUGUGCCAAGAGUCACACCAUCCCUCUCAGACGUGAUCUCUCCUGUGACCGGGUGAACCCUCCAGCCCUGUGAGCUCGAGGAAGGGUUCAGAGAAACAGCAACAGCAGUUGUAGAUUUAUAGAGAGGACGGACGACUCCCCUUCAGAAACCUGCUGUGUGUCUGAUGCACUGUAAGGAGCUUUAUGAAGAUCGUUUCAUUUAAUUCUCUUAGCAACUAUGGGGUGGGAGCUCAUAUUGUUACAUUAUUUUAUUCCUGUGAUACACGAGGAGACUGAAAUUCAGAGCGAUGAAAUCAUUUGCUUAGGUUUACACGGCCUUCGAGUUACAAGGGUUUCUCUGAUUCCAAAGGCCACGUUUUUCCCACCCCAACACGCUGCCUCUGUGAACCUAAUUCCUUUCUGAUGGACUUGUUGGAUUCCAGUUGGUUGUGAGGGCCAUCAGGUGUGGCAGGUAUUUACUAAUUUUUGGCCAGCUGGUACUCAACCCUGAUCUCUCCUUUGGAGGAGUUUGUCACUGGGGACAGUCAUGGGGUGACAGCCAUUCCCUUGGACUCUUCUCCCUACUCAAGGGCCCUGCCUAAGCAGGCAGAAGUCAACAGUUACACAAAACCCCCCAAAAUCCUCCCAGUUGGUUCCUGCGUCCCACGGCCCAGGAAAUGUACAUGAGUCACUGAACCACCAACUCUCUGGGGCCCCCCACCUGGUGGGGGAUUAGCUCUUGUAGUUUAGAUGAAAGAAGGACAAGAGAAUCUUCCUAGUGGACAAAUUACCCGUGUGUAAUUGGGUAUCAUUGGGACCAGGUGGCGGAGUGUAUAUUAUGAAGCCCAAACUGUUGUGAGACUUUUCGUUUCCAGAGUUGGACCAGUGGAGCUCAAUCCAGUUCAGCUUGACUCAACUCAACUGAGCUCAUCACAACUAAGUUCAGCUCAAUGCAGGUCAACUCAUCUUGACUUAGCUCAGUGCACAUCAGCUCCGCUCAACGCAGUGCUCAGAGUGGAUCAUCUCUGCUCAAUGGACCCACCUUGACUCGACUCAGUGCAGCUCAACUCAACACAACUCAGCUGUACUAGGCUUGCUUGGUUCAACUCCACUUAACUCAACUCAGCUCAACUGGGAACGGCUACAUUCAGUCAAUUAGGGAGGCAUUAACCGAGUAUCAAGGUUAGAGGCUCAUGUGGUUGAUUCCUCCAGGAACACAUACUUUAGUCAUUAAAAUAAGGAGUUUGGAUAUGAAGAAUGUAGAUAGUAAUAUACAAGCAAAGACUUUAAAGCUCAAUGGAAGGAACAGCUACUUCUCACUGGUGAAGGCUUCUUGAAAGUCAUAUUAUUUCAGUAACAUCCAGUGGGCCAGUGGAGCAUGUGUGUGCGCAGAGGAGAUCUGCACAAUUUGCAUGUCCCCGUUCCCUGCUAUAUUCACAUGUAUCAUUCACACUGCCCUGUGAGCACAGAAUGUCGGG